rnacentral:rRNA from 1 species
ACGUAGGGUGCGAGCGUUAAUCGGAAUUACUGGGCGUAAAGCGUGCGCAGGCGGUUGUACAAGACAGGUGUGAAAUCCCCGGGCUUAACCUGGGAACUGCACUUGUGACUGUACGACUGGAGUACGGCAGAGGGGGAUGGAAUUCCGGGUGUAGUGGUGAAAUGCGUAGAUAUCCGGAGGAACACCAGUGGCGAAGGCGACUUUCUGGCCUGUU